GCCCCAGUAAACGGCGGCCGUAACUAUAACGGUCCUAAGGUAGCGAAAUUCCUUGUCGGGUAAGUUCCGACCUGCACGAAUGGCGUAAUGAUGGCCAGGCUGUCUCCACCCGAGACUCAGUGAAAUUGAACUCGCUGUGAAGAUGCAGUGUACCCGCGGCAAGACGGAAAGACCCCGUGAACCUUUACUAUAGCUUGACACUGAACAUUGAACCUUGAUGUGUAGGAUAGGUGGGAGGCUUUGAAGUGUGGACGCCAGUCUGCAUGGAGCCGACCUUGAAAUACCACCCUUUAAUGUUUGAUGUUCUAACCUGGCCCCGUGAUCCGGGGUAGGGACAGUGUCUGGUGGGUAGUUUGACUGGGGCGGUCUCCUCCCAAAGAGUAACGGAGGAGCACGAAGGUUAGCUAAUCCUGGUCGGACAUCAGGAGGUUAGUGCAAAGGCAUAAGCUAGCUUGACUGCGAGAGUGACGGCUCGAGCAGGUGCGAAAGCAGGUCUUAGUGAUCCGGUGGUUCUGAAUGGAAGGGCCAUCGCUCAACGGAUAAAAGGUACUCCGGGGAUAACAGGCUGAUACCGCCCAAGAGUUCAUAUCGACGGCGGUGUUUGGCACCUCGAUGUCGGCUCAUCACAUCCUGGGGCUGAAGUAGGUCCCAAGGGUAUGGCUGUUCGCCAUUUAAAGUGGUACGCGAGCUGGGUUUAGAACGUCGUGAGACAGUUCGGUCCCUAUCUGCCGUGGGCGUUGGAAGAUUGAGAGGGGCUGCUCCUAGUACGAGAGGACCGGAGUGGACGCACCGCUGGUGUUCGGGUUGUGAUGCCAAUUGCAUUGCCCGGUAGCUACGUGCGGAAAAGAUAAGCGCUGAAAGCAUCUAAGCGCGAAACUUGCCU
rnacentral:rRNA from 1 species